UUUUACAAUGUAGAAUCUACUUUACAAGAAGUGUUGUGACCAGACACUAUGCUUAUCAGCGCAACCGUCGAUUUGCUAUUUUGUGUUGGCUACUGGCUAGUGGUAAAACUGCUUACGUACGAAAAGGCAGUCGCCAUCGCCAUUUUUGCUCCAUUCCAUUCCAUCUUUCAUACGCGUUUACAUUGAAUUUGAUAGUUUUGCUACUGUAAUUUUAAUUAAAUAGCAAUUAUGGGGGUUGCUCCUAAUUGUUGUAAUAAUAAUGCCCAAGGCUUUCGAACGUUUCGUUUUCCGUCUAGUAGUUCAAGAAGAAGUAAAAUUUGGCUACAACAUUUUAGACGUACCAACUACCAAGUAAAAACCAACCUCCAGACUGAGGUACAUUUUAAGAUAGUCAAUGAGAGUCACAGCGAGCAGAUGGGUGGAAAAAGUUAAAACCCAAUUCUGUUCCAACCAUAUUUAAUAUGCCCAACCCACCAAAAAUGUUGUCUACGCCAACACCACAAUCUCACUACAAGUUGAUAUUUUCAAUUUCUAUCAUGGAUAUGUCGCUGGCUACCGCUGGCCUUGAUUGGGCACGCAGUGUGGACG